AUUGAACGCUGGCGGCAGGCCUAACACAUGCAAGUCGAGCGAGAGGCGGACGGGAGAGUAAUGUAUGGGGACUGCCCGAUAGAGGGGGAUAACUACUGGAAACGGUGGCUAAUACCGCAGACUAGCGGAUAACCCAGAUGGGAUGUGCUAGUAGGGGGGGUAAAGGCUCACCUAGGCGACGAUCGCUAGCUGGUCUGAGAGGAUUAUCAGCCACACUUCGACUAUGACACGGCCCAUCCUCCUAUGGAGACAGCGGUUGGAAGUAUUGCACAUGGGGCGCAAGCCUUAUGCACCCAUGCCGCGUGUAUGAAGCAGUCCUUAGGGGUGUAAAGUACUUUCAUCGGGGAGGCGUUACCCGCAGAAGAAGCACCGGCUAACUCCGUGCCAGCCGCCGCGGUAAUAC
rnacentral:rRNA from 1 species